rnacentral:rRNA from 1 species
UAAGGAAUAUUGGACAAUGGACGAAAGUCUGAUCCAGCCAUGCCGCGUGAAGGAUUAAGGUCCUCUGGAUUGUAAACUUCUUUUAUUUGGGACGAAAAAAGAUCAUUCUUGAUCACUUGACGGUACCAGAUGAAUAAGCACCGGCUAACUCCGUGCCAGCAGCCGCGGUAAUACGGAGGGUGCAAGCGUUAUCCGGAUUCACUGGGUUUAAAGGGUGCGUAGGUGGACUUGUAAGUCAGUGGUGAAAUCCCGAAGCUUAACUUCGGAACUGCCAUUGAUACUACUAGUCUUGAAUAUUGUGGAGGUAAACGGAAUAUGUCAUGUAGCGGUGAAAUGCUUAGAUAUGACAUAGAACACCAAUUGCGAAGGCAGUUUGCUACACAUAUAUUGACACUGAGGC